GGGGCUGUGCUCGGAUAAACUUGGAGUCUGGUUUGUGAUGCUAACGGCUGAGACGCAGGGAGCAGAAGAAAUACAUGCAUGUUAACAAACGUGCACACACACACACACACACACACUGAACCCCUCGGCUGUAAACUGGCGCCCUCCCUUGAACCCUAAUGGCGCGUUUUGAGAGUGCGGCACUGAGAGGAAGGAGGGAGGAUGAAGUCAGUCGUGUACUUACUGCAUCAUCAUCAUUAGUGAUGAGGGAGGAAUGCAGCACAGCUCACAUUAACAGCCACCUUCUCUGCCCGUGACCUUGACACUUGGCAGAGAACGGACCUCAUUUCCCGACUAGUUGGGAAAAAUAAUUUCCCCACAAGCACAAAUCCAAUUUAAGUGUCUAUUUUAGCAUUCGUCCUGAAUCAUCCUCCCUCCCUGACUCUCUCCGUCUCUUCCCCACCUCUCGAGUGUCAUACCUGACACACAGGUUGUGGUGGUGGGGGGGGGGGGUCACAUUUCAUUUAGUGUGGAAUCUGUUCAAAUGCCAAGUGGUGGAAAUGUCAGCCGCAGUACAAGCACAGCCUCCCCAAUACGCACCUACUCUCUUAAAAUGGAAACCCGCCAUGCUAAUGUAUCUGUGCCCCCCCCCCCUGCAGGCUCAAAACACCGAGGACAGUGUGUGUGUGUGUGUGUGCCUGGAUUUAUGUACUCAGAUUCAUGCAGCCUGUAGUUUCACUACCAGGGAGGCUGGGUGGGUGUGUCUGUGUGUGUGUGUGUGUGUUUGUGUGUGUGUGUUUGUGCCCCCUCAUCUGCACUUGCAGCCUGCGCUUGAUGGAGUGAAGGCCAACGGUCCCUCUGAUGGAUGAAGAGAGGAGUGACCCCCGGAGCCUCCACGCCGAUCAGCGGCAACAUGCUGCAUCCUGCACAACGAAGAAGGCGGAGCUACGCGGACGCGUGCACGCAGGGAUUAGAGCUCUUCUUCCCUUCCGCAGUCACGGCGCGAUGACUUUUUUCAUUUUCUGGGCUUUUCUGAGGAGAGCUGACAGGGGGAACGUCUGAAAGGCCUCAUUCGUUUCUUUGGCGCCGGUGAGUUGGUGCAGAAGGCAAAGCAGGCCUUCAAAGUGAAGGAAGCCAGCCAGCGUGUGGCUCCUGCAGGCCACCACAGGGGUGUGAACGUGUGUGUGUGUGUGUGCGUGUGUGUGUGUGUGUGUGUGUGUGUGUGUGCAUGAAUGCAUUUGUGUACUGUACGUGCCCUCCUCAGCCUCCCAGGGUCUGACAUCCUCUCGGUGUAAACGCAAAGUAAAGCUAUACGCCGGCUUGUGCGUCUGAACCCAACCUGGAAAAAAAAACACAUUCAAAAGGAAAUGGUUCGGAUUUAUUUGUGAGAGGGGCUUUAUUCCAGCGUAACCCCUCCCCCCCCCCCUCCACCACCUUUCCUCACCCGGGAUCCGGCCGGGUGGCUGUGUGGCUGGGAACGCGGUAUCCGUGCGCAUCCUUUUCGCCCGUUUGUUGUGCGUUUGUGUUGGAACAGCUAUUGUCCGCAGUCGCUCCAGCAGGGGGCUUCACGGUGAAUUAUUCAUGUGAGAUUUGAAUACAUGCAAAUGGCUCCCUCCCCUCCGCUGGCACACAUCCAGGUUGCCCGUGGCAACGGCGCCUUCAAGAAGCAUCUUUUUCACCCCCCCCCUCUUCCUUCCUGCUCCUCCCUCCCUCCCCCCCACAGUGGCAUUGUUUCGACCGUUGCAAUACCCGGCUGGGUGGCUGGACACCGUGUGGUGGCAGAAUGUCCCAUAAUUCAUAGUCAAGGUCGUGCGGGCAGCGGCUCAGGAUGAGAGACUCGGGGAUGGAGGAUGGGCGGACGAAGGAAGGGGAACGCACUCACCUCGACGUUCACGUCCGCUCACGGCUACGCAACAGCGUCGCACAAAAUCUUUAACCUGUUAACGCAGCGUACCGAUACUCAAAUGUCUGGUUUAUUUCAUUUGAAACAGUUAUUGUGAUGGUUUAAAUUGUAGGUAUGAGAGUUUUAAGUUGCUUUGAUGAAAGUGCGUGUUGUUGUGUAUGUGAUGUAUUUUGUAUUAUUAUG
ensembl:lncRNA